rnacentral:tRNA from 1 species
GGGUGUGUAGCUCAGUUGGUAGAGCAAUAGUGCAAAGCUAUUUGUCGGCGGUUCGAAUCCGCCCACACUCA